rnacentral:lncRNA from 1 species
CAAGGAUCUCAAGUUAACCAUUGUGGAGUGUUCCUCAAUAAUAGAGGUAUGGGUUGGGUUUGGUUUGGCCUGUGCUGAUUCCACAUGGCAAAGUCAACCUCUAACCAAACCCUGUGGAUGUUUUAGAUACUGAAGGCUGAAAGAAAUAAACUGCUGGAGAACAUCCAACACAUGCAGCAAGAGCUGAUCUCGUGAGUAUUGUGGCCAAAUCCCAGGAAAGGCAGUUCAUUAGAAAUCCAGACUGGCCUGAUGCAUAAUUUUUCCUGCUCUUUUUAGGAAUGGGUUGAGUUUCCCGUUGUGUAAAUUUAACAGCAAUAUUCCUGAAGAGAUGAAUUCACUGCAUUGUGAACUGGAGCUUGCACAGUCUUCUGAGAUUAUCAGGACUGAAUGGACAUCCCUGGAUGAAACACUGGACCGUGAAGUGCUGCUUUUGCUUCAGGGGCCUGAAUAUGCAGGAGAAAAAUUCAAGACUAUCAUGCAAAACCUGCAAGAGGAAGCCUCUGAAGCAGAGGAGCUUGUCAUGGUUUCAUUAGAAUGGGUAAAAGAUCCUGAUGAGGACAUGCAACAAGCAUGGGAAAGAAAACUUAUGGUGAGUGACUUUCUCUGAAGCAUUCAGUGAAAUGGUGGAGCUGUGAACAACUUCAGGUGG